GACGCGAGCGGCGUGAUCGGCACCGCGCUGUGCUGGAAGUACGGCGCGGAUCGCGCGUCGCUCGGCAUGGUGAUCGUGUCGCCGGCGCGGCA
rnacentral:tRNA from 1 species